rnacentral:rRNA from 1 species
UGAACGCUGGCGGCAGGCCUAAUACAUGCAAGUCGAACGGCUCUUCGGAGCAGUGGCGGACGGGUGAGUAACGCGUGGGAAUGUGCCCUUUGGUACGGAACAACACAGGGAAACUUGUGCUAAUACCGUAUGUGCCCUUCGGGGGAAAGAUUUAUCGCCAUUGGAGCAGCCCGCGUUGGAUUAGGUAGUUGGUGAGGUAAAGGCUCACCAAGCCUACGAUCCAUAGCUGGUCUGAGAGGAUGACCAGCCACACUGGGACUGAGACACGGCCCAGACUCCUACGGGAGGCAGCAGUAGGGAAUCUUGCGCAAUGGGCGAAAGCCUGACGCAGCCAUGCCGCGUGUAUGAUGAAGGUCUUAGGAUUGUAAAAUACUUUCACCGGGGAAGAUAAUGACGGUACCCGGAGAAGAAGCCCCUGCUAACUUCGUGCCAGCCGCCGCAGUAACAC